UGCCUGAACCUUGUACUUAUGUAUUUUCAACGGUAGAGUUUCUACACUUCAUAGAUUAAGGGUGUGGAACUCUGCUGUACCUCGAGUAUUAAUGCAAUUACUACUACUUUCUAUUCAAUUCAACCUAUUCCUAUUCUAAGAUAUUCGUUGCACUUCAACUUGAUGAAUGUGAUGAUCCGUGACACUCAUCAUCAUUCUCACCUAUGAACGCGUGACUGACAACCAAUUCCGUUCUACCUUAGACCGGGCGCAUAUCUCUUGGAUUCCUCCCAUUCCGUGGUAUCAAAGUCUUCGUGGUAUAAGCUAGAAUUGAUGGCGGCAUUCAUGAGAAUCCGGAAAGUCUAAACCUUGUCUGUGGUAUUCCGAGUAGGAUUCAAGGAUCGAAUGACUGUGACGAGCUUCAAACUCGUGAUUACUGGGCGUGAUGACAA